rnacentral:rRNA from 1 species
ACACCGGCAGCUCAAGUGGUAGCCGCUUUUAUUGGGCCUAAAGCGUCCGUAGCCGGUCUGAUAAGUCUCUGGUGAAAUCCCGCAGCUUAACUGUGGGAAUUGCUGGAGAUACUAUCAUGACUCGAGGUCGGGAGAGGCUGGAGGUACUCCCAGGGUAGGGGUGAAAUCCUGUAAUCCUGGGAGGACCACCUGUGGCGAAGGCGUCCAGCUGGAACGAACCUGACGAUGAGGGACGAAAGCCAGGGGCGCGAACCGGAUUAGAUACCCGGGUAGUCCUGGCCGUAAACGAUGUGGACUUGGUGUUGGGAUGGCUUCGAGCUGCCCCAGUGCCGAAGGGAAGCUGUUAAGUCCACCGCCUGGGAAAUACGGCCGCAAGGCUGAAACUUAAAUGAAUUGGCGGGG